rnacentral:rRNA from 1 species
CACAGGGAGGUAGUGACAGUAAAUAACAAUGCAGAGCCCUUUGGGUUUUGCAAUUGGAAUGAGAACAAUUUAAAUCCCUUAUCGAGUAACAAUUGGAGGGCAAGUCUGGUGCCAGCAGCCGCGGUAAUUCCAGCUCCAAUAGCGUAUAUUAAAGUUGUUGCAGUUAAAAAGCUCGUAGUUGAACUUUUGGUGAGGUGCUGUGGUGUAGAAAUUCUGCACUGCAGUGCUGAGCCUGUUUUGGGGGAUGCGUCACUUGUGGCGAGGAGCCCGGGUUACUGUGAAGAAAUUAGAGUGUUUAAAGCAGGCGAUCGCUUGAAUACAUUAGCAUGGAAUAACAAGAUAGGACUUGGUUCUUCUUGUUGGUUUAGGAGCCAAAGUAAUGAUUAAUAGGGCCAGUCGGGGGCAUUAGUAUUCAGCAGUCAGAGGUGAAAUUCUUGGAUUUGCUGAAGACUAACUAGUGCGAAAGCAUUUGCCAAGGAUGUUUUCAUUAAUCAAGAACGAAAGUUAGGGGAUCGAAGACGAUCAGAUACCGUCGUAGUCUUAACUAUAAACGAUGCCGACUCGGGAUCGGCAGGCUUCGUUCGCGAACCUGUCGGCACCGUGUGAGAAAUCAAAGUUUUUGGGUUCUGGGGGGAGUAUGGUCGCAAGGCUGAAACUUAAAGGAAUUGACGGAAGGGCACCACCAGGAGUGGAGCCUGCGGCUUAAUUUGACUCAACACGGGAAAACUCACCAGGUCCGGACAUAGUAAGGAUUGACAGAUUGAGAGCUCUUUCUUGAUUCUGUGGGUGGUGGUGCAUGGCCGUUCUUAGUUGGUGGAGUGAUUUGUCUGGUUAAUUCCGAUAACGAACGAGACCUUAACCUGCUAACUAGUGUGCAUUACUUGCGUAGUGCAUGACUYCUUAGAGGGACUGACUAUGUUUAAUAGUCGGAAGUUUGAGGCAAUAACAGGUCUGUGAUGCCCUUAGAUGUUCUGGGCUGCACGCGCGCUACACUGACAAAGGCAGCGAGUAUACCUUGGCCGAGAGGUCUGGGAAAUCUUGUGAAACUUUGUCGUGCUGGGGAUAGAUCAUUGCAAUUAUUGGUCUUGAACGAGGAAUUCCUAGUAAGCGCAAGUCAUCAGCUUGCGUUGAUUACGUCCCUGCCCUUUGUACACACCGCCCGUCGCUACUACCGAUUGAAUGGCUUAGUGAGGC